AGAGUUUGAUCAUGGCUCAGGAUGAACGCUGGCGGCGUGCCUAACACAUGCAAGUCGAACGGAUGCCUUCGGGCAUUAGUGGCGCACGGGUGAGUAACACGUGGUUGAUCUACCCCAAAGUAGGGGAUAACGUUCCGAAAGGAAUGCUAAUACCCUAUAAGCUCCCGAUGUUUAGAAGGUUGGGAGAAAAGUUCCGGCGCUUUGGGAGGAGACUGCGAACCAUCAGCUAGUUGGUGCGGUAACGGCGUACCAAGGCGACGACGGUUAGGGGACCUGAGAGGGUGGCCCCCCACACUGGAACUGAGACACGGUCCAGACUCCUACGGGAGGCAGCAGUGAGGAAUAUUGCACAAUGGGCGCAAGCCUGAUGCAGCGACGCCGCGUGGGUGAUGAAGGCUUUCGGGUCGUAAAGCCCUUUUCUAGAUGACGAGUAAGGACGGUAGUCUAGGAAUAAGUGUCGGCUAACUACGUGCCAGCAGCCGCGGUAAAACGUAGGACACAAGCGUUAUCCGGAGUUACUGGGCGUAAAGGGCGUGUAGGCGGAUGCAUAAGUCUAUUCUGAAAGCUCCUGGCUAAACUGGGAGAGGCGAAUGGAGACUGUGCGUCUAGAGUGAGGAAGAGGAAAGUGGAAUUCCGCGUGUAGUGGUGAAAUGCGUAGAGAUGCGGAGGAACACCAGUGGCGAAAGCGACUUUCUGGUUCUCAACUGACGCUGAGGCGCGAAAGCAUGGGGAGCGAACGGGAUUAGAUACCCCUGUAGUCC
rnacentral:rRNA from 1 species